UAGCUCAGUUGGUAGAGUGCUUGCCUUGAAUGCACAAGGUCCUGGGUUCAAUCCCCAG
rnacentral:tRNA from 1 species